AGUGAACGCUGGCGGUAGGCCUAACACAUGCAAGUCGAACGGCAGCACAGUAAGAGCUUGCUCUUACGGGUGGCGAGUGGCGGACGGGUGAGGAAUACAUCGGAAUCUACUUUUUCGUGGGGGAUAACGUAGGGAAACUUACGCUAAUACCGCAUACGACCUACGGGUGAAAGCAGGGGAUCUUCGGACCUUGCGCGAUUGAAUGAGCCGAUGUCGGAUUAGCUAGUUGGCGGGGUAAAGGCCCACCAAGGCGACGAUCCGUAGCUGGUCUGAGAGGAUGAUCAGCCACACUGGAACUGAGACACGGUCCAGACUCCUACGGGAGGCAGCAGUGGGGAAUAUUGGACAAAGGGCGCAAGCCUGAUCCAGCUAUACCGCGUGGGUGAAGAAGGCCUUCGGGUUGUAAAGCCCCUUUGUUGGGAAAGAAAAGCAGCAGGUUAAUACCCCGCUGUUCUGACGGUACCCAAAGAAUAAGCACCGGCUAACUUCGUG
rnacentral:rRNA from 1 species